AGCGUACACGGUGGAUGCCCUGGCAGUCAGAGGCGAUGAAGGACGUGCUAAUCUGCGAUAAGCGUCGGUAAGGUGAUAUGAACCGUUAUAACCGGCGAUUUCCGAAUGGGGAAACCCAGUGUGUUUCGACACACUAUCAUUAACUGAAUCCAUAGGUUAAUGAGGCGAACCGGGGGAACUGAAACAUCUAAGUACCCCGAGGAAAAGAAAUCAACCGAGAUUCCCCCAGUAGCGGCGAGCGAACGGGGAGCAGCCCAGAGCCUGAAUCAGUGUGUGUGUUAGUGGAAGCGUCUGGAAAGGCGCGCGAUACAGGGUGACAGCCCCGUACACAAAAAUGCACAUGCUGUGAGCUCGAUGAGUAGGGCGGGACACGUGGUAUCCUGUCUGAAUAUGGGGGGACCAUCCUCCAAGGCUAAAUACUCCUGACUGACCGAUAGUGAACCAGUACCGUGAGGGAAAGGCGAAAAGAACCCCGGCGAGGGGAGUGAAAAAGAACCUGAAACCGUGUACGUACAAGCAGUGGGAGCACGCUUCGGCGUGUGACUGCGUACCUUUUGUAUAAUGGGUCAGCGACUUAUAUUCUGUAGCAAGGUUAACCGAAUAGGGGAGCCGAAGGGAAACCGAGUCUUAACUGGGCGUUAAGUUGCAGGGUAUAGACCCGAAACCCGGUGAUCUAGCCAUGGGCAGGUUGAAGGUUGGGUAACACUAACUGGAGGACCGAACCGACUAAUGUUGAAAAAUUAGCGGAUGACUUGUGGCUGGGGGUGAAAGGCCAAUCAAACCGGGAGAUAGCUGGUUCUCCCCGAAAGCUAUUUAGGUAGCGCCUCGUGAAUUCAUCUCCGGGGGUAGAGCACUGUUUCGGCAAGGGGGUCAUCCCGACUUACCAACCCGAUGCAAACUGCGAAUACCGGAGAAUGUUAUCACGGGAGACACACGGCGGGUGCUAACGUCCGUCGUGAAGAGGGAAACAACCCAGACCGCCAGCUAAGGUCCCAAAGUCAUGGUUAAGUGGGAAACGAUGUGGGAAGGCCCAGACAGCCAGGAUGUUGGCUUAGAAGCAGCCAUCAUUUAAAGAAAGCGUAAUAGCUCACUGGUCGAGUCGGCCUGCGCGGAAGAUGUAACGGGGCUAAACCAUGCACCGAAGCUGCGGCAGCGACGCUGAUGCGUUGUUGGGUAGGGGAGCGUUCUGUAAGCCUGUGAAGGUGUACUGUGAGGUAUGCUGGAGGUAUCAGAAGUGCGAAUGCUGACAUAAGUAACGAUAAAGCGGGUGAAAAGCCCGCUCGCCGGAAGACCAAGGGUUCCUGUCCAACGUUAAUCGGGGCAGGGUGAGUCGACCCCUAAGGCGAGGCCGAAAGGCGUAGUCGAUGGGAAACAGGUUAAUAUUCCUGUACUUGGUGUUACUGCGAAGGGGGGACGGAGAAGGCUAUGUUGGCCGGGCGACGGUUGUCCCGGUUUAAGCGUGUAGGCUGGUUUUCCAGGCAAAUCCGGAAAAUCAAGGCUGAGGCGUGAUGACGAGGCACUACGGUGCUGAAGCAACAAAUGCCCUGCUUCCAGGAAAAGCCUCUAAGCAUCAGGUAACAUCAAAUCGUACCCCAAACCGACACAGGUGGUCAGGUAGAGAAUACCAAGGCGCUUGAGAGAACUCGGGUGAAGGAACUAGGCAAAAUGGUGCCGUAACUUCGGGAGAAGGCACGCUGAUAUGUAGGUGAAGUCCCUCGCGGAUGGAGCUGAAAUCAGUCGAAGAUACCAGCUGGCUGCAACUGUUUAUUAAAAACACAGCACUGUGCAAACACGAAAGUGGACGUAUACGGUGUGACGCCUGCCCGGUGCCGGAAGGUUAAUUGAUGGGGUUAGCGCAAGCGAAGCUCUUGAUCGAAGCCCCGGUAAACGGCGGCCGUAACUAUAACGGUCCUAAGGUAGCGAAAUUCCUUGUCGGGUAAGUUCCGACCUGCACGAAUGGCGUAAUGAUGGCCAGGCUGUCUCCACCCGAGACUCAGUGAAAUUGAACUCGCUGUGAAGAUGCAGUGUACCCGCGGCAAGACGGAAAGACCCCGUGAACCUUUACUAUAGCUUGACACUGAACAUUGAGCCUUGAUGUGUAGGAUAGGUGGGAGGCUUUGAAGUGUGGACGCCAGUCUGCAUGGAGCCGACCUUGAAAUACCACCCUUUAAUGUUUGAUGUUCUAACGUUGACCCGUAAUCCGGGUUGCGGACAGUGUCUGGUGGGUAGUUUGACUGGGGCGGUCUCCUCCUAAAGAGUAACGGAGGAGCACGAAGGUUGGCUAAUCCUGGUCGGACAUCAGGAGGUUAGUGCAAUGGCAUAAGCCAGCUUGACUGCGAGCGUGACGGCGCGAGCAGGUGCGAAAGCAGGUCAUAGUGAUCCGGUGGUUCUGAAUGGAAGGGCCAUCGCUCAACGGAUAAAAGGUACUCCGGGGAUAACAGGCUGAUACCGCCCAAGAGUUCAUAUCGACGGCGGUGUUUGGCACCUCGAUGUCGGCUCAUCACAUCCUGGGGCUGAAGUAGGUCCCAAGGGUAUGGCUGUUCGCCAUUUAAAGUGGUACGCGAGCUGGGUUUAGAACGUCGUGAGACAGUUCGGUCCCUAUCUGCCGUGGGCGCUGGAGAACUGAGGGGGGCUGCUCCUAGUACGAGAGGACCGGAGUGGACGCAUCACUGGUGUUCGGGUUGUCAUGCCAAUGGCACUGCCCGGUAGCUAAAUGCGGAAGAGAUAAGUGCUGAAAGCAUCUAAGCACGAAACUUGCCCCGAGAUGAGUUCUCCCUGACUCCUUGA
rnacentral:rRNA from 1 species